GAGUUUGAUCGUGGCUCAGAUUGAACGCUGGCGGCAGGCCUAACACAUGCAAGUCGAGCGGAUGACGGGAGCUUGCUCCUUGAUUCAGCGGCGGACGGGUGAGUAAUGCCUAGGAAUCUGCCUGGUAGUGGGGGACAACGUUUCGAAAGGAACGCUAAUACCGCAUACGUCCUACGGGAGAAAGCAGGGGACCUUCGGGCCUUGCGCUAUCAGAUGAGCCUAGGUCGGAUUAGCUAGUUGGUGGGGUAAUGGCUCACCAAGGCGACGAUCCGUAACUGGUCUGAGAGGAUGAUCAGUCACACUGGAACUGAGACACGGUCAGACUCCUACGGGAGGCAGCAGUGGGAAUAUUGGACAAUGGGCG
rnacentral:rRNA from 1 species